rnacentral:rRNA from 2 species
AACGACUCUCGGCAACGGAUAUCUCGGCUCUCGCAUCGAUGAAGAACGCAGCGAAAUGCGAUACUUGGUGUGAAUUGCAGAAUCCCGCGAACCAUCGAGUUUUUGAACGCAAGUUGCGCCCAAAGCCUCUCGGGGUGUAGGGCACGUCUGCCUGGGUGUCACGC